UGGGGAAUUUUGGACAAUGGACGCAAGUCUGAUCCAGCCAUGCCGCGUGCGGGAAGAAGGCCUUCGGGUUGUAAAGCUCUUUUGUCAGGGAAGAAACGGUGAGAGCUAAUAUCUCUUGCUAAUGACGGUACCUGAAGAAUAAGCACCGGCUAACUACGUGCCAGCAGCCGCGGUAAUACGUAGGGUGCAAGCAUUAAUCGGAAUUACUGGGCGUAAAGCGUGCGCAGGCGGUUAUGCAAGUAUGAUGUGAAAUCCCCGGGCCCAACCUGGGAACUGCAUUUGUGACUGCAUAGCUGAAGUGCGGCAGAGGGGAAUGGAAUUACGCGUGUAGCAGUGAAAUGCGUAGAUAUGCGGAGGAACACCGAUGGCGAAGGAAAUCCCAUGGGCCUGCACUGACGCUAAUGCACGAAAGCGUGGGGAGCAAACA
rnacentral:rRNA from 1 species